rnacentral:rRNA from 1 species
AACGAACGCUGGCGGCAUGCCUAACACAUGCAAGUCGAACGAGACCUUCGGGUCUAGUGGCGCACGGGUGCGUAACGCGUGGGAACCUGCCCUUAGGUUCGGAAUAACUCCCCGAAAGGGGUGCUAAUACCGGAUAAUGUCUUCGGACCAAAGAUUUAUCGCCUUUGGAUGGGCCCGCGUUGGAUUAGCUAGUUGGUAGGGUAAAAGCCUACCAAGGCGACGAUCCAUAGCUGGUCUGAGAGGAUGAUCAGCCACACUGGGACUGAGACACGGCCCAGACUCCUACGGGAGGCAGCAGUGGGGAAUAUAGGACAAUGGGCGAAAGCACGAUCCAGCAAGGCCGCGUGAGUGAUGAAGGCCUUAGGGUUGUAAAGCUCUUUUACCCGGGAUGAUAAUGACAGUACCGGGAGAAUAAGCUCCGGCUAACUCCGUG